rnacentral:tRNA from 1 species
GGGGUUGUGGCUCAGUGGUAGAGUGCUUACCUAGCAUGCAUGAGGCACUGGAUUCGAUCCUCAGCACCACA